UACGUAGGGUCCGAGCGUUGUCCGGAAUUACUGGGCGGUAAAGAGCUCGUAGGUGGUUUGUCGCGUUGAUUCGUGAAACGUCAACCAGCUCAACUGUGGGCGUGCGGGCGAUAGCGGGCAGACGUGAGUACGUGCAGGGGAGACUGGAAUUCCUGGUGGUAGCGGUGGAAUGCGCAGAUAUCAGGAGGAACACCGGUGGCGAAGGCGGGUCUCUGGGCCGAUAACUGACGUGGAGGAAGCGAAAGCGUGGGGAGCGAACAGG
rnacentral:rRNA from 1 species